rnacentral:rRNA from 1 species
GGGCAAAUUGGUACCGUAACUUCGGGAUAAGGUACGCCCCUGUAGCCUGACUGGCCUGCGCCAGAAGGGUGAAGGGGUUGCAAUAAACUGGUGGCUGCGACUGUUUAAUAAAAACACAGCACUCUGCAAACACGAAAGCGGACGUAUAGGGUGUGACGCCUGCCCGGUGCCGGAAGAUUAAAUGAUGGGGUGCAAGCUCUUGAUUGAAGUCCCGGUAAACGGCGGCCGUAACAAUAACGGUCCUAAGGUAGCGAAAUUCCUUGUCGGGUAAGUUCCGACCUGCACGAAUGGCGUAACGAUGGCCACACUGUCUCCUCCCGAGACUCAGCGAAGUUGAAGUGUUUGUGAUGAUGCAAUCUCCCCGCGGCUAGACGGAAAGACCCCAUGAACCUUUACUGUAGCUUUGCAUUGGACUUUGAACCGGUCUGUGUAGGAUAGGUGGGAGGCUUUGAAGCGUGGACGCCAGUCUGCGAGGAGCCAACCUUGAAAUACCACCCUGGUUUGUUUGAGGUUCUAACCUUGGUCCGUAAUCCGGAUCGGGGACAGUGCAUGGUAGGCAGUUUGACUGGGGCGGUCUCCUCCCAAAGUGUAACGGAGGAGUACGAAGGUACGCUAGGUACGGUCGGAAAUCGUGCUGAUAGUGCAAUGGCAUAAGCGUGCUUAACUGCGAGACCGACAAGUCGAGCAGGUGCGAAAGCAGGUCAUAGUGAUCCGGUGGUUCUGUAUGGAAGGGCCAUCGCUCAACGGAUAAAAGGUACUCUGGGGAUAACAGGCUGAUACCGCCCAAGAGUUCAUAUCGACGGCGGUGUUUGGCACCUCGAUGUCGGCUCAUCUCAUCCUGGGGCUGUAGCCGGUCCCAAGGGUAUGGCUGUUCGCCAUUUAAAGAGGUACGUGAGCUGGGUUUAAAACGUCGUGAGACAGUUUGGUCCCUAUCUGCCGUGGGCGCUGGAUAUUUGAAGGGGGCUGCUCCUAGUACGAGAGGACCGGAGUGGACGAACCUCUGGUGUACCGGUUGUCACGCCAGUGGCAUCGCCGGGUAGCUAUGUUCGGAAGAGAUAACCGCUGAAAGCAUCUAAGCGGGAAACUCGCCUUAAGAUGAGAUAUCCCCGGGGCUUCGAGCCCCUUGAAGGGUCGUUCGAGACCAGGACGUUGAUAGGUCAGGUGUGGAAGCGCAGUAAUGCGUUAAGCUAACUGAUACUAAUUGCCCGUAAGGCUUGAUCC